CAUCCUCAUAGCCCCAGGGUGGGGGCAGGAUCCUUCUCCUCACUGGGCUGAGUGGCAGAGGAGGGGUGGGAUCCUGGCCAUGCUUGUGUCAUCCAGGCAUCUAGGCUUCCAGAGCAGCUUCUCACCAGCAGACCCCAGUGCAGGGUGCACCGCAGGGGAAGGGCCCACAGACUGGGCUCCUGGCCAGGAUACCUGAGCUUGCAUUCUACCUCAAAAGCAGUUGGGGAAGCCAGAGCCAAGCCCCUCUCCACCUACGUCCUGAAUUUCCCUCAGUCUAAGGCUGGGGGUGAGGCCGAGGACCUCUAAAUCCGCAAACACACCAAAAUACCCACCCAUACGCAUACACACCCACACUCUGUUCCCCCUCUGAAACCUGGAAUCACUCCUGCCUGCCCCACCCAGCUCCACCCACCCUGGCUAGGCAGGUUCUGUAGAGACCUGCUCCGCUGUCUCUCUGGCACCCCCACCCCCAUCCCAGCUCCCAGAAGGUACCUGCCCCCCAACACAGCACACAAAAGCAGACACGUGUGCACAUUCAUGUCCCAUAGCACCCCAUUCCCUAGCCUUCCCCAGACCCAUUCCUAGUCCGUCUUGAAGAGAACACUGGGGGUGGAAAGGCUGCAGGAGAAAAGGCAGGCCCCACAAUUUCCACCACCAGGCUUUGAGCUGCUUCCUCCCUUGGCCUAGGCAGAGAACUGGCCCGUACCUGCCCACCAGAAAACAGGGGAAUUACUCAAGUGCAAGAUUAAAGGCAAUAAUGAGCAAUCAGACCGAACUGGAAUGACAGUAGGGGAAGGUGAAGAGACUUUGGGAAAAGGAAGAGCACUGAAGUCAGACCUGGCACAGCCUUUUACGAGCUAUGUAAUCUCAGCUAACAGGGCAUCUCCUGCAGGAACCUUCCCUGGCACCUCACCCCAGGGCCAAGCACUCUUCCUCUAUGCUCCAGUGGCCUCCUGAACACACCUCCACACAGCACUCACUGGGCUGCAGUGAAUCAACAUGUUUUCACAUGUCUCCCCUGGGAAAACAUCUUAUUUGCCCCUCCAUCCCCUGUGCUUCACACUGUGCCUGGCAGAUAGGAGAGAGUGCCUAAUGUGGUCGGCCAAAGGAAGAUCAGAACCAAAGCCUAGUUCUCCUAUCCCGACUCCGACCUCUCUCCCUUAAUGAUGAUUAUCCCUCAGAAUCCGAACCAUCCAGCUAACAUUUACUAUGUGCCAGGAACUGUGCAACGUGCUUUCUCUAUUAUUUCAUUUAAUCCUCAUAACCCCAAGAAGUAGGGCCUAUUAUUAAUUCCAUUUUACAGGUGAGGCUUCAAAAAGUUACCAGUUUUGUCUGAUGUCACGGAAUUAGACAGUGGCAAAGCCAGAAUUUAAAAGCAAACCAGGGAAGAAAGCCACUUGGUGGGGGACCAGGGAUUCCUUGUGGAAGGGCUCAGUCUAGGCUUGGAGGAUGUGCCUUAAGACACCUAAGAGGCUGGGGAAUGGGGUUUAUUACUUGCCCAGAUCACACCACUGUUAAGUACUAAUUCCAACCAACUCUGACUCCUUUCUCUGGCCUCACAAUGUGAUGAACACUUGAGGGAAGGAGAAGACUGGAGUUCCCUAAAACUCAGAGGGGAUCAGAUCUCUUCCUUUUCCCUGCCAAAGCUUCUGUUAGUCAAGUUCCCUCCCCAUUAACUGGAAGGACCUGGAAACCAGAUGAGCAGAUAAAAAACUGUCCUGCUCUAGGGCCAGGGAAGGGGGGAUAUUUCCUCAGAUCUAAAAGGAUCAGGAGGAGAGGCAAACACACCAGAGAGGCCUGCCCCGGAAGAAUUAGAGGAAAUAGAAGUCAGGAGCAAGACAAUGGGUGAGGAGGGGCCAACGUGGCCACUGACUCCCAAUCUGGAAGUACUUUCAGAAAUGGCAUUUCCUAUUAUCUGACCACAAUUCCUCCUCUUUGGAAGAGAGCCCCCACCAGCAUAAUAUAUCAUGCAUGUGAUCAGCGUAUACAGAGCAAACAAGGGACCCCAGAGGGCCAGGGCACACCAUCUUAGAUGCAAGUGCCUUACUAGCCCUGGGAGCCCUAACUAUCAGACAGGUGUUGGGUUUGGGGGAAUGAUCCAUUAAAAAAAAAAAAAGGUCUUUUAAAGGUCUUUUCCUACUCUGCCCCGUUCCCCGUUCCUCGUUCAAACAUUUUCUAACCCCUACUACUCUUAUCUCCAGGCCUUAGGGAGGGUAGGGAGCCCUGAGGACUAAAGAGGGAACAUUCCAAUUG
rnacentral:lncRNA from 10 species